ACACUCUGGUUUCUCUUCACAUCGAGUAAAUCUUUCGCCUUUUACUAAAGAUUUCCGUGGAGAGGAGCAUUAUAAAUGAGUCUUAGAAGACUAUUUUUCACGCCCUACGCUGUAGGGUGA